AAGCGGAUAGUUUAAUGGCAAAACACUUAUCCCCCUUAUUCAAAAACUUACCCAAGCGGGUCGCCGAAUUUAGGGUUAUCGCCUGUUAAGCGAGAGAUGGAGGUUCGAUUCCUCCUCCGCUUGCCA
rnacentral:tRNA from 1 species